CGUACCGCGGCGAGCCAAGCUCCGGCUUCCAGUAUCUCUCACAGCUUAAUCUCCCUUUUCCUCACCUCCAACAAAUUAGAUUCUAGUUACUGCAGAUGCAGACCAUGAUGAAGGUCGGACUGAGGUAGAAAGUCUAUAACAAAUCAGCACGAAGCCAUGAAGGUUUAUGUCCAAUCCAUGUGAUGUGUCCAUCUCAAGUCAACAAGAUGGUCUCUGCUCUAUGCUGUCUUCACUCAGGGCCCUGGAUGGUGGAUACCCACCUAUGUGCUACCAUGACAGCUGAGACAAGAAAAAAAGGAAUGUGGUAGCUAUGCAUUAUUAAUAAUGACAUAUAUCACUUCCAUGAAUUUCUUCUGGGCCAUGGAGUCCCAUGGCCACACCUAACUUGAAGGAAAAGUAUAAUUUUCUCUUUUCCCAGACAGCAAACCUGGUAAACAGCAUAGAAACCUUGAAGGACAACUCCAGCUAUUUGUCUCUCACCUCACUUACAGAAAGUUCGAGGAGGUGUACAUAUAGACAGUAAUCAUUCACUGUCUUGUUCCUAAUUAAUCACUUUAUUCUCUUUCCAUUUCUUUGCAUUCAGCCAUCCAAUCAUGUAUUGAGUGUAAUAGUACAUGUUAGGCAGUAUAUACAACAAAUAAUAAUU